rnacentral:rRNA from 1 species
AUUGAACGCUGGCGGCGGGCCUAACACAUGCAAGUCGAACGCGUGGCGGACGUGUGAGUCAUGUCGGGGAACCUGCCUGAUGGAGGGGGAUAACUACUGGAAACGGUAGCUACUACCGCAUACCAUCGGAUGUGCCCAGAUGGGAUUAGCUAGUAGGUGGGGUAAAGGCUCACCUAGGCGACGAUCACUAGCUGGUCUGAGAGGAUGACGAGCCACACUGGAACGAAGACACGGUCCAGACUCCUACGGGAGGCAGCAGUGGGGAAUAUUGAACAAUGGACGCAAGUCUGAGGCAGCCAUGCCGCGUGAAUGAAGAAGGCCUUCGGGUUGUAAAGUACUGUAAGUGGGGAGGCGUUACCCGAAGAAGAAGCCCCGGCUAACUCCGUGCCAGCAGCCGCGGUAAUUC